AUGCAUUAAGAUAAGAUCCAUCGAUCUUGAUAGAGAGGAGUAGUCUUAUGGCAUUCGAAAGGCUAAGUCUGAGAGUUUGUAGCUACAGCAGUGUGAUUGAUGUAAAAGAGUUCUAUAGAAAUCAUAAUUAAAUUUGAGCUAAUCGAAUCUAUUAUACGACUGAUGUUAAAGUUUAAUGAUUUAUCCAUGAUCUGCCAUCU
rnacentral:lncRNA from 1 species